UUCACAGAAGGUCUGUGUAAUUGAUAUUCCACUGUGGUGAGAUUUUUAGUUUUCCAACAUUGCCCCUCUGUACAGACUUCUCUAAGAGUCAGCAUCAUACACUCCUCUUGAGUGAACUCCAUCACUGUAACCUUGGAAGUCACUGGUUCCUGUAACCAGGCUGUCAGAAAUCUAGCCACUAUUCUUUCCUCCCCAGUAUUUCUCAUGCAGACACAGGUAAAGUCCUGUGUAGGGAGAGCUCAGGCAGAGGGCACAUCAAUGACUGCCAUUUUGUGAAUCCAGAAGUGACAAACUUACAUAGUAGGGCAGCAAGAUCAGGAUGUUUCUCUGAUCUACUCAGGAGAAGAAUGUGUUUCACCAGUGUCCUCCCUGCAGCCAAAGAGCAGGUUCAGGUAAAAGAAGGAAGGUGGGUAUGGCCCCAUGGGGGGACAAGGUGAGAAUAUUUUGUAGACCCUCCCUGUCACCUCUCAGUAAGGUUUAGCUAUCUUAAAAUUGUCACCAGGAUUUGUACUGACAAGUAGUAUAGUCAUUUUAUAGUCUCUCUAGAACUACCAUCCCAAUUAUUUGUACUAAAUUCUCAGGUAGACUACUUCUUAGCUCUGGGUGAAAGGAGCAUGUGUUAUUUAAAAAAAAAAAAAAAGUUAAAACUGAGGAGUCAAAAAUGCAAAGUUGUGUAAUUAAAUUUCCUGUACAGUUUGCUAUUUUGUUGUUAAUAUUUUGGAGUAGACAAGUAAUUUUCCUGUUAAACAUCACUGUCUUACCUUAAGACAAAGGCAAAUAACCUUAAAGUUAUUUGUUCUAAACCUUUGUUGUAUGAUUUGUCCCCCUGAGUAAUCUUCCAUAUGCUGAACAGAAUUGAUGAUUUAGUUGCUACCCUACUAGAAAAUUUUACCAGAGUCAUGAAUGCUACAUUUUCUUAACCUUUAUUUCACUUAUUUAUUUUUAUGUGGUACUGAGGAUUGAACCCAGGGUCUCACAUGUGCGAGGCGAGCGCUUUACUGCUGAGCCACAACCCCAGCCCACUACAUAUGUCUUGACAUUGAAACAAAUAUUCGUUUAAUUUCUGCCCAUCUUUUCUUAUGAUAGUUUAUACUAUAUAAAACCUGCUUUGGGCUGGGGAUGUGGCUCAAGCGGUAGCGCGCUUGCCUGGCAUGCGUGGGGUGCUGGGUUCGAUCCUCAGCACCACAUAAAAAUAAAAUAAAGAUGUUAU
rnacentral:lncRNA from 1 species